CUCCUACGGGAGGCAGCAGUGAGGAAUAUUGGUCAAUGGGCGGAAGCCUGAACCAGCCAAGUAGCGUGCGGGAUGACGGCCCUAUGGGUUGUAAACCGCUUUUUCACGGGGAUAAAGUGCGCCACGCGUGGCGCUUUGCAGGUACCGUGCGAAUAAGGACCGGCUAAUUCCGUGCCAGCAGCCGCGGUAAUACGGAAGGUCCGGGCGUUAUCCGGAAUCAUUGGGUUUAAAGGGAGCGUAGGCCGCAUGUCAAGCGUGCUGUGAAAUCCCGGGGCUCAACCCCGGAAGCGCAGCGCGAACUGGCGUGCUUGAGUUGCAUCGAGGCAGGCGGAAUUCGUGGUGUAGCGGUGAAAUGCUUAGAUAUCACGAAGAACCCCGAUUGCGAAGGCAGCCUGCCAGUUGCACACUGACGCUGAUGCUCGAAGGCGCGGGUAUCGAACAGGAUUAGAUACCCUGGUAGUCCGCGCGGUAAACGAUGGAUGCCCGCCCUUGGGCCGUUAUGGUUCAGGGGCCAAGCGAAAGCGUAAGCAUCCC
rnacentral:rRNA from 1 species